UACCAGCACCCCGAGUGGUCGGGACGAUUAUUGGGCCUAAAGCAUCCGUAGCCGGUCAUGCAAGUCUUCCGUUAAAUCCAGCCGCUCAACGGUUGGGCUGCGGAGGAUACCACGUGGCUAGGAGGCGGGAGAGGCAAGCGGUACUCAGUGGGUAGGGGUAAAAUCCUUUGAUCCAUUGAAGACCACCAGUGGCGAAGGCGGCUUGCCAGAACGCGCUCGACGGUGAGGGAUGAAAGCUGGGGGAGCAAACCGG
rnacentral:rRNA from 1 species